UACGUAGGGUGCGAGCGUUGUCCGGAAUUAUUGGGCGUAAAGAGCUCGUAGGCGGUGUGUCGCGUCGGUCGUGAAAACUUGGGGCUUAACUCUGAGCUUGCGGUCGAUACGGGCAUCACUGGAGUUCGGCAGGGGAGACUGGAAUUCCUGGUGUAGCGGUGAAAUGCGCAGAUAUCAGGAGGAACACCGGUGGCGAAGGCGGGUCUCUGGGCCGAUACUGACGCUGAGGAGCGAAAGCGUGGGGGGCGAACAGG
rnacentral:rRNA from 1 species